UAUCCCUCAGUGCUGAGGCAUUGUCUGCUGUUUUGCUUGAGCAAAGUAGGAGGGACGACCGCUCCAAGAUGGCAGCCGUAUUUCCUGCGUCGGAGUAGCCAAUGCGGGGUCUACUCUUAUAUUAUGUCUAUGGAGGAGCACUCUGGCCUGCCGCCUCCAGGACUCCAUCUAGUGGUGAAUAAAAGGACCAAGCAGCAACCCCAAGAAAACCCCAAAAACCCCAGAACCUAACAACCACAACAAAAAAGCUGAAACAAGGCCAGAAUAAAGCAGCUUAAAAUACAGGAUGCUAAUAUCCAUCACUUUAAGGCUAAAAUUUAAAGGGAUCUUUAGUCAUCUCUUAAGUUUUCCCAUAUUAUGCAACAGUGUUACUCAAGUUAUCACAGUUUAAUAUCACCAACAUAUCAAUAAAACUUAAAUUGUCUUAUAUGUGGUAGUACUAAACAUAUAUUUCAAUCUUAAAAUGCUAAUGAAGUUCAACCAAAACACUAUAAUGAUCUAACAUCAGAAUGUGGAUUGGAAGCACACAUUAGCUCUGGUCUACUCAAAACAGCAAGAAAGUGUUAGGAUUCGGGUUAGUGUGAGUGCUCUUUCCUACAGAGGAUCUUCAGGGGAGAGUUCUGACAGGCUGGCGCACCGGCAGCUGAUUCUGAGUGAUUGGACUUUUAAGAAGCAGUGGAGCAGUCACUCAUCGCUCGAUGGUCCCACUUGUUGAAACCGAUCAACUGUUGGAUUCAAGCCAGGAACCAAGUCGGGACUGGGAAAUCGUUCCCUGCCAAGAUCAAACAUCUCCGCCUGCCGCUCUCCUCCCCACUCCAUCGUCGGUCUUCUGUACGCUCCUGGAUCCUAGCCUUUCCCUCCGCGCAACCACCAUCCGUAAGACAGUAAGCUUAUCCCUCAAAACCAAUCAAGAUCUCUCAAAAUCCGGUCCCUACUAAUAUUUCCCUUCUCCGAACAGAACCCGAGCUGAUCUGCCAAUCCCGUUUCCUGGACCACAAUCAGAUUGUACUUUUGGAAAUACAUUAAACUUUUACUGAACAGUU